rnacentral:rRNA from 1 species
UGGGGAAUCUUGCACAAUGGGCGAAAGCCUGAUGCAGCGACGCCGCGUGGGGGAUGAAGCAUCUCGGUGUGUAAACCCCUUUCGACCCGGACGAAAGCCUCGCAAGAGGACUGACGGUACGGGUAUAAGAAGCCCCGGCUAACUACGUGCCAGCAGCCGCGGUAAGACGUAGGGGGCCAGCGUUGCUCGGAAUUACUGGGUGUAAAGGGUUCGUAGGCGGUGCGGCAAGUUGGGAGUGAAAUCUCUGGGCUCAACCCAGAGGCUGCUUCCAAAACUGCCGUGCUCGAGUGUGGGAGAGGCGCGUGGAAUUGCAGGUGUAGCGGUGAAAUGCGUAGAUAUCUGCAGGAACACCCGUGGCGAAAGCGGCGCGCUGGACCACUACUGACGCUGAGGAACGAAA